CAAUGAAAUUUUGGUGCUGCGUUAAUUGUGAGUGAGAGAGACGCACAGUUUAGUACUAGUAGUGCGUUAAUUGUGAGUGAGUUCUACCACACUGACACUGUUGGGUUGCUUCCCCUCGCAUCGCAUGCAUCCCUGUCUUCCCCGGCGCCGGCGCCGCCGCCGGCGCACCUCGCCAAAGAUGCAUCCACGCGCCUCCCCUGCAAAUGAUUUAUCGAUGCGCCGCCGCUAACCCUAUCUGUGCCGGCGAUGCACCAGCCGUGGGGUCCCUCCAACUCCCCGGUCACCGGCCGCCUCCAAGGUCCACGCAGCCGACGACCUCUACAUCCUCGCUCUGCCUGCUCCCCAAGACAGGCGGCUGGCUUGCCACUCCCUCAACCUCGCCGGCGGACAGAGGGAGACAUUAGGACACAUCCCCUCGUCUUCCACGCGAGGCAUCUCCUUGGCCGCCAUAUCCGGCGCCAUCCACCACGAGGCCGCUCCGUCCUGGCCGUCUCCUCUGACCAACUCGCCGGAAAAAGGCCGCAACCGCCACAGCCGGUCAAUGAUUUUAUUCACAUCCCAUGCAGACGAGCAUCCUAAACACCACAUUCAUCAUGGUGUAAUUGUGAUGAUCCAAAUGAGUACUUCAGGAUAUGAGGGGUAUAGCUCAGGACCACGUCCCUGGCAGCCACCACGCUGCUGAUGUCAUUGGAGAGGUCGCCGCUGCAGUUGUGCUGCUUGGCCAUGGACAACCUCAAGCACGAGCUGACCAGGAUGGACACGCUCGCGCGCAUCAGCUUCAAAUGAAACAUGAGUAUUUUCUACUACAGACAAGGUCUCAGUAAGUAUGCCUAAGAUGUCUAGUUCACAUAUGUUAGUUUGUACGUGGAAGCUAAAAUGCACUGAAAGAAGCCAUUGCUGUGAAAGACAUUUGAGUUAGCAUAUUCUGUUUAUACAUGUUUUGUCAUGUUAAAUCCGGUAUUACGAAUGGCGGUUUGCUCUGCGACUAUCUGAUGGUUAGUGCGAUUCAGUGGGAUGCUGCUUAAUUUGUAGAUGAUGCAUGUCUACAGUCUAUGGUAUCCGUUGUCUCCUCACGUGCUUGCAUGACCAAUAGGUUUGUAUUCAACUCGGAUAUGUGGCGUUAAAUGUAUUUAUGCCGGCCAGUUCUAUUAGUAGUGGAAUAAUUAAUUGUUACUAGUCAGAUAUGUCUUGCUGGGAGUAGAUUUACGUAUUUGUUUCUAUGAUCCAGUCCAGGAGAGGUGAAUAUUUAUUCAAUUUUUAUGCUCCAUUAUAAGAAAUGUAAAUUUGAUUGAGAACAUGUUGUGGAAAACAAUUUAUUUGAUACAUAGCUUGGAAUUCUAUCUACCUUAAGGUAACCAAACUACCAAUAUUCUAUUUUAUAAUGUUCUCUAGCUAGUACCUAAAUGUGCUUCUGUAUGAUUUACUUGAGUUGCCAUAUUUAAGCACUCUUCCUUUCUAAUUAAUCCACAAGGUCUUUUUUUAUUGUGGCUGCCAUUUUCUUUGCCAUAUGCCUCGUCGGUCUCUCAACCUUUGAUUUUGACCCUGCAAAGGAACAUUUUGGUUUUAUUUUUGAAAAAUCUGGGUCACUCGUAGUUUCGAUUGCCUAUUGAUCAUUUCAAUGAAAUGAAGUUGGUGCCGGUGCUGUGGUGGUAAUGAUGCAAUGCAAGUGAUGCCAGUGUGUUAAUGAAGCAUGGAAAUAACAUAUUUUACAUUUACUAAUUAUCAGUUGUUUUGUUAAUUAUAGGGGCCUUUUCAAGUUGCUUGAAUGUUUUGUGUACAUCUGUUCUCUAAUCUGGUACUUAUUGAUACUUGUACUACAAUGUGAUUCAACAAAUGCAAUGCUGCUGCAAUAUAAAGGCGAGUUAUGUUGUUGCCUUCUCAUUGAUGCAUAUGCCUUUGCUGCUUAUCAAAACACGGGUUUCUGUUAACUACGGGGACUUGUCCAGCAAUCUGUUGCGGCAUGAGGAGCCUCACUCGUUUGCGUUUCCGGUAGGAGUGUGUCUACCAAUUUCUUCUGGGUGGAGGGGGUUCCUGAACGUCAGCAUCCUCAGAACAUUCAGGAGAAACUUGAAGGAAUGUUGCGUUGGACGAGUUUGGCUGCCGUAAAGACAAGUGGAGCUAUGAACGCCAGGUGAAUCGAGCUCGCUGAUCCCAUGAAGAAUGCUUUAAUUUGUGAACAAGACCAUGACUCAGCAGGCGAUGUAACCAUGAAGGCAUCCGUUCUUGCUCAUAAUAUCAUGAAACUAGGACUGAUGAGUGUAACUAAUGGGAAAAACCAGUAUCUAUCAAAGAGGGCAUAGAUAAGAAUGGUGCAUCGUAAACCUGUGAAGUUUAGGAGGGAUAUUAAAGCUAUUGUGGCUACAUCUACUGGAAACAACAAUGACUUUGUUCAGACCAGGUUCAUGGUGGUUAUUAAAAAAAUUGAUCCCAAUGGUGUUCUCUUGAUUGGAGGAAAGCAAUGUAGAUUGAUAGAGGAUAACUUUCUCAGUUUGUAACACUCCUUGAGAAGUCCAUUGUUGUGUUUGAAAAUACCCGAAUUCCUGUCAUUGAUUAGAAUAUCUCCUCAGUUGAAGAAAUCCAAGCUCCGUUGGAGAAAAUCAGCAGUUGAGAUUGGCAUUUCUCACAAUUGCAGAGGACAUAUCUGGCGAGGCUUUGGCAACUUAAGUUGUCAACAAGCUCUAAGGGAUCAUGAAUAUAGUUGCUACUAAAGCUCUUUGUUUUGGUGUAAGGUGCAAGGCUCUUCUUCAAGACAUUGCAAUUGUCACUGGCUGAGUGGGGGUAGUACAUGUCAUCCAUGAACUCGUCCUCAAGGACCAACGAGGCAACAUUGAAGCCGCCGCCGUUCAGUAGCUUCAUAGCUUGUCAACACUGGCAUCCAAAGACCAAUGGCCCUAGGUGUAUCGGUCUGGCAUGAUCUGGUGUGGUUGUAGCCGUGCUACAGCUGGGAUGGCCUCCCGAGGCUCGCUGUGGUGGUAGGCUCGGCUGGUCCUAGGUUUCGAAUACCUCUUCGGUCUCGCAGUAAUGUCGACUAACCACCACAUAUUCCUUCUGCACAUGGCUGAUGCUACUCGGCGAAGCGCUUCCGCAAGGUGCAGUUCCCCAUCAUCGAGCAUCUCGCCAACUUUCUCAUGAUGCAUGGCUGCAACAACGGGAAAAGACCAUAGAGAUCAUCCACUACACCCAGAUCAUCGUCGAUGCCAUCAUCGGUAGCUGCGCUGCGGGCCACAUGAUGAUGCUCACCCUUAUUGGGUCUACUUGUGUUGUAAGGAGAUAAAGUGCGGAUCUCCUCCUCCCCCCUUCAGGAACAUCAAGACCAUUGGGAGGGAUCAAGCCAGCGAAGCGGCAUGAUGAUGGGGACAUGUGCUCUUCGCCUGCACGAGAGCGGUGAUGAGAAGCCCACUGCCCAUGGUGCUUCCCUCACAUGCCAAGGUCAUCGCCACCGGUAACAGCCAGAAGUUAGGACGGUUGUUUGGUCUUGGAUGCUAACACUGACUAGUGAGUCUUGCUUAUGACUAGGCACUCCACCGGAGCUUUGCUUAGUCAGUGGCUGGUUCUCUUGGAGAUUGUGAUUGCAAGUGAAAAUAAUAAUAUCUCCUUGCUUUUCUUUUCAGAAAUUAAUUUUUUUAGUUUGGUACCAUUAGCAUAAAAGUUGAAGAUGCAUGAAAACUUGAUGGAAAACAACAUCCAGAUACGGUAACUUGUUCCAGUUCUAGAAAAUGCUUUUUAAACAUGAAUGACUGUUAUAUAGCUAGACGAUGCCACUAAGCUUGUUGCUUGUAGUGCAAUCUAGCUGUAGCUUAAGUUAACAUUUAACUACUGCUAUUAUGGUUGAGUCUAGAUGUUAACCAGAUGUAUUCCCCGUUGGUUCCUUACUUGCUUGUGCUAUCCCUACCCAAUUCGUCUUCAUUGGAGAUUUGAGAUUAUUUUCUUGGAAAUAUUAUAUGAAUCUGGUGAAUCCAUUUCUGCCAAUGACCAGUUUAUUCCAAUUGGGAAUUGUAGCAGGUUGUUCACUAUUUUAUUAUUCUGAUACUACUUGUUGGAUCUGUAUACUGGGUGAGGCGAGUCCAUGUCGCCUGAAGCCCACCGUAGCAACCUCGACUCCAUUGUUCAGGAUCUCCACGGCAUCGGCAACCCAAAGAUGUCAGGGGACGGGAAUGAUGGGUAUCUGCACCUGCUCGCUCCGUUGGUGUUGCUGUUGUGGUCGUUGUGGCCUCGUGCGCCUCGCGCAUGGUUGUAGGCGAGGCGGCGGCGCCGAGUGAGGAUGAGCUGGAGAUAACCUGGCUGGUCUGAAGCUUCACCGGGAACUCGUUUGUGGUGUUGCGAGAGAGCAAGUUGAUGUGGAGUGCAAACGGCAUGCUAUAUAUUCAAGUUGAGAACCUGGUGGUGGAGCAGCGAUGGCACCUACAUUGCGAGAUCGUGCAACAAGGCCACGUUCCAGGGUUCUACCUAUUGCAGUGCUUGGUGCCUGAUCCGGAAAAUCUGAGCUGCACAGCCUAUCAUGUUUUUCCACUGGGGCUAGCGAACAUGGGCCGCUGCUGGGCCGCUGCUGGACCGCCACCUGCCUGCAUCGUCAGGGACUCCAACACCACCCUAGCUGAGUCCUCCGUGACCAGGAGAUGGAAAAAAUCCAACACCAGAUGACGGGUUGCUGCUUCUGCCGCCAGGUCUGGUUUGAGGUUCUUUCCUGGCUACGGGAACUUGCAGACCACCAAAGCAGGACGAUACACUCCAGGACUGGCACUGCGCAAGGGCCUCGUCUCCAUCACUCGGCUGACACCGUGGCUAAUAUGUAAGCACCACAAUGACUGUGUUUCUAGAGGAGCUCAACCCUCUGUAAACAGAGUCGUGUCCACCAUUAAGGAGGAAGCUGCCCUUUGGGCAAGAUCCUUCGUGGCAUGCUGCCGUAGACUUGGGAUAUGCACUCAGUUGCAUUUUGUGUUUUACAAGGCAUGUAACAACCAACUCUAUCUCUCUUUUCAAUGAAAUGAAACACAAAGGGUUUUUGCGUUUUCUCGAUAAAAUGAACCUGGUCGUGGACCUGCAUGCAUAGUGUUGUAUUGUCUAGAUGCCACCAGGUGUUGAAUUGUUGCUGCCUAUCUGUUGUUGGUCUUGCAAAAGAACAUGCAUGUUGGAUGCUGGCAUUUGGUUAGCUGUUGAUUUGAACAAGUUCA